UUGUCUCAAAGAUUAAGCCAUGCAUGUCUCAGUACAAGCCAAAUUAAGGUGAAACCGCGAAAGGCUCAUUAAAUCAGUUAUGGUUCCUUAGAUCGUACCCACAUUACUUGGAUAACUGUGGUAAUUCUAGAGCUAAUACAUGCAAACAGAACUCCGACCGGAGACGGAAGGAGUGCUUUUAUUAGAUCAAAACCAAUCGGUGGCGGUUUCCGUCAUCGUCCAACUUGGUGACUCUGAAUAACUUUACGCUGAUCGCACGGUCUUGCACCGGCGACGCAUCUUUCAAAUGUCUGCCUUAUCAACUGUCGAUGGUAGGUUCUGCGCCUACCAUGGUUGUAACGGGUAACGGGGAAUCAGGGUUCGAUUCCGGAGAGGGAGCCUGAGAAACGGCUACCACAUCCAAGGAAGGCAGCAGGCGCGCAAAUUACCCACUCCCGGCACGGGGAGGUAGUGACGAAAAAUAACGAUACGGGACUCAUCCGAGGCCCCGUAAUCGGAAUGAGUACACUCUAAACCCUUUAACGAGGAUCAAUUGGAGGGCAAGUCUGGUGCCAGCAGCCGCGGUAAUUCCAGCUCCAAUAGCGUAUAUUAAAGUUGUUGCGGUUAAAAAGCUCGUAGUCGAAUCUGUGUCCCGCGCCGCCGGUUCAUCGUUCGCGGUGUUAACUGGCGUGCCGCGGGACGUCCUGCCGGUGGGCUUAGCUCGCGAGGGCGGCCCAACUCAAUCCCGCCGCGGUGCUCUUCAUUGAGUGUCGAGGUGGGCCGGCACGUUUACUUUGAACAAAUUAGAGUGCUUAAAGCAGGCUAAAACUUUGCCUGAAUACUGUGUGCAUGGAAUAAUGGAAUAGGACCUCGGUUCUAUUUUGUUGGUUUUCGGAACCCCGAGGUAAUGAUUAAUAGGAACGGAUGGGGGCAUUCGUAUUGCGACGUUAGAGGUGAAAUUCUUGGAUCGUCGCAAGACGGACAGAAGCGAAAGCAUUUGCCAAAAACGCUUUCAUUGAUCAAGAACGAAAGUUAGAGGUUCGAAGGCGAUCAGAUACCGCCCUAGUUCUAACCAUAAACGAUGCCAGCUAGCGAUCCGCCGACGUUCCUCCGAUGACUCGGCGGGCAGCUUCCGGGAAACCAAAGCUUUUGGGUUCCGGGGGAAGUAUGGUUGCAAAGCUGAAACUUAAAGGAAUUGACGGAAGGGCACCACCAGGAGUGGAGCCUGCGGCUUAAUU
rnacentral:rRNA from 3 species